UUUUGAUUUCGACAAAGGGGUGUGUGGUGCAAAAAAUAUCCAACCUCGAGCAUAUUGCCUGCUCAAAGAUGAUAAAUAGAGUCGCCACCAAACUUUAUUUAUUCCAAAAAAAAGGAAAAAUAUCAAUAAAACUCUUAAAGAUGACAAAGAUAUGGUCGUCGUAACCAAAUCGAGUUGGGAGUCGAUUAUGCAAGGACAAGGUAUUAGCACCCCUCACAUCUGUUGUACUUAACAAGAACCAUUGAGUUAGUUUUGAGAUAAGUUUUAGCUUAAAAAUUUG
rnacentral:lncRNA from 1 species